ACGGAGGGUGCAAGCGUUACUCGGAAUCACUGGGCGUAAAGAGCGUGUAGGCGGAUAUAUAAGUCAGAAGUGAAAUCCAAUAGCUUAACUAUUGAACUGCUUUUGAAACUGUAUAUCUAGAAUGUGGGAGAGGUAGAUGGAAUUUCUGGUGGUGGGGUUAAAAUCGUAGAAGUUAAGAAGAAAACCCAAUUGCGAGGCGGAUCUCCUGAAAAUUUAUGGCGGUUGGGCGGCGAAGGGUUGGGAGCAAACAG
rnacentral:rRNA from 1 species